rnacentral:rRNA from 2 species
UCCUACGGGCGGCAGCAGUGGGGAAUAUUGGACAAUGGGCGAAAGCCUGAUCCAGCCAUGCCGCGUGAGUGAUGAAGGCCUUAGGGUUGUAAAGCUCUUUUGUCCGGGAAGAUAAUGACUGUACCGGAAGAAUAAGCCCCGGCUAACUUCGUGCCAGCAGCCGCGGUAAUACGAAGGGGGCUAGCGUUGCUCGGAAUCACUGGGCGUAAAGGGCGCGUAGGCGGACUUUUAAGUCGGAGGUGAAAGCCCAGGGCUCAACCCUGGAAUUGCCUUCGAUACUGGGAGUCUUGAGUUCGGAAGAGGUUGGUGGAACUGCGAGUGUAGAGGUGAAAUUCGUAGAUAUUCGCAAGAACACCGGUGGCGAAGGCGGCCAACUGGUCCGAAACUGACGCUGAGGCGCGAAAGCGUGGGGAGCAAACAGGAUUAGAUACCCUGGUAGUCC